GUCAGUUAUUGGUCGGGGGAUGUGGGGCUUGGUUCUGGGUUUAUUAGAAUGGAGCGGUUCUAUAGGUGAUAUAUAGCAGGUCCAGCCAGCAGGGGGCAGCACCGGCCAUAGAGAGUCUCUGCUCACAGGAGGGGAGUUCUCCUCAGACAUGUCUGCUCUCCCCCUGGAAUAUUAGGAGACCCCCAGACCCCUGUAAGGGCUGUUUUCCUGGAUUAGAGGGGUCUUCCAUCACACAGUGUUCUGUGAUAUCAUUAGGAUAUGGAGUCAGUGUGUGAUCGGUGGGGACAACCUCUUCUAGAUGAAGGGGCUGCAGCGCUGUGUCCUCUCCUCAGUUUUUUCCUGAACAGUGGAGGCCAGGAGCACCAAAGUUAAGAGAAAAUAUUGAAGGUUUCUUAGGUGCAGGACUCUCUUCUUAUAGUAGACAAUGGUCCUUUCCAUCAAGGACCCACCAAGGAUGGAGAAGGACAGAAACCACAUGGCUGCAAGGAUAUUAGACCUCACCCUGGAGAUCAUCUCCUUGAUAACUGGGGAGGAUUACACAGUAGUGAAGAAGUCGUCUGGUGAGUGUGUGACACCCCGGGUGUCAG